GCAAAGGCUCUAAUAAGAGCCAGACAUUUCUAAUACAAAAUAUAC
rfam:Cricetulus griseus cell line CHO-K1, whole genome shotgun sequence.